GCAAUCCAAGGUUGAAUGACAGUGUUUACAGAGUUCAUCAUUUAAUUAUAUCAGCAUCUCACAAGCUCUCAUGCUCCUGGGUGACUUCAAACUAUCUAGUUGGCACAAUUAUUGGCCAAGUUUCUACCUUCAACCAUUGAUCAUGUCAUCAACACAGAACUUGGUAAUGAUGUUUUCUACAAUGCCUCAAUUACAAGUUUGAGUUUAGAAUCUUGACUUUAAAAUUAGUUGGAAGUUUUGUUGACAGUUGGAAAAAACAUCAAGACUGCAGCUUGGUUUCAACUCGAAAUCUUACUACUUUGUGCAUAAAAGAAUGUACUGUUAAUUCCCAAGUGCAAGGAAGAACACAGGGAAAGAUUGGCAUAUGAUUCAAUUCAACACAUAGCUAAAAAAAACUAACUGAAUAAAGUCAUGCCUCUCUUAGACAGCAGGAACACAGCAUUGUUUAUUAUACUGGUGGGGAUCGAGUUAUGAAUUUCAUCGAGUCUCAAUGAUUUCAGCCAAUGAGACAAUGCAGACUCUUAACUUUGUGGGAUAUAUUUAUAUAUAUAGCCUUGUUUUAUUUGGAAGGCAAGCAAAUUACACAGAAAAGGUUCUAAGAAUAUUCAAGAUGCAUGAUGCCAAGAGUGUAACAGUUCCCUUAGCUGGUCAUUUUAAGUUCACAGCUGAUCAAUGUCCUGAAACUGAAGCAGAAGUAAAACUGUAAAAGACAUGGAUGAAGUCCCAUAGGCACCGCACUUGGUUGUUUGAUGUAUGUAAAAUGCUUAUGCCCUCAGUUUUCUUGAUGUCUAAUCCUGGGCUCGAGCAUUGGCUUGGUGUGAAAUGGUCAAUGAGGUAUCUCAAAGGUACAAGCACACAUGGUAAGGUGUACAAGAAAAAUGCUGGAAAGACAUGGCUCGAAGGGUUUGUAGAGUCUGAUUUUGCUUCAAAUCAAGAUUCAAGAAAGUCCCUCAUUUUCUAUGUUGUUACAAUAGUGGGAGCACAGUAAGUUGGAAGUCUCAUCAGCAACAAAUCAUUGCUUUGUCCACGUCUGAAGCUGAAUUCAUGGAGACUGUAGAAGCUUUUAAGGAAGUAGUGGGAGCAUUGCUUAAACUUGUUGAACAUUGAUACAAGCUUGUUGAAGUUACUUGAGUUAAAUCAUCAUGAGCUUUCCUUAUUACUAGUCCUCCAGAACACAUCCAGCAAGCAGUGUAUUUACCGCUGACUUUUCCUAUGCACGCCAACUCAGUUCAUCAUCUUAGUUUCAGAUUAGUAUUGUAUUUCACAUCUUUGUAGAAAGAAGAUCACUUUGAGAGUUUUGAGAGCUUUGAGUGUGGUUGUACAAGGGGUUCUCGGGUUUGGUUCCAAGGGUACAGAAAGAGUGAGUUUGGUACCAAGAAACCAUUGAAGAUCUUCAACUGUAACAAAGAUUGUAUUGCUGAUUCUCUAUAGUGGAUUGCUCAUGAUAAUGCUCAAACUGGAUGUAGGUCAAAUUGGCCGAACUAGUAUAAACCUUGGCGUCCAUUUCUUUACUGUAUUUUCUUUACUUUAAUUUCGAUUUGUUGCUCGGAUACUUUGUGUUCUGUUCUUGAACCUGUGGCCAUCUAUACCAGCAUGUCCCAAACUUCUCUGAUAUAAAUACAUAAUAGUGAGGUUUUCUAUUUGAGAUUGCUGAAAUCAUUGAGGGUGUAUUGAAUUUGAUUGAUAUAGUGGGACUGAAUCAAUUAAACUCC